GGGAAUUCGAGGCUGGGAGUGGGGCCGAGCGGCGGGCGGGACGCGGGAGCGGGGUCGUUGGGACGGGUGCGGGGGAACAGGGUGAGUGGGGCCGCGGGUGGGGGCGGCAGGUCGGGGCUGGUUCUCGGGGAGGGGAGAUGGGAGCGCGUGGGCCCCGGUGGCCCGGGGCUUGUGGUGCUGGGGAGAGGGCCCGGUGCGGGGCUGAGAGUGCCGCGGGCAGCGGCCCGGCCCUGGGGCAAAGGACAGGCCGGGGUGUUUGUAAACAUGUCACGGGUGAGUGUGACGAGGAUGCAGCCAGGCUCUUCUCGGUGACAACCAAUGAUAGGACAGGGAGAAAUGGGUGCAAACUGGAACACAGGAGGUUCGACUUAAAUAUGAGAAGAAACUUCUCAGUGGGGGUGGCAGAGCCUGGAACAGGCUGCCCAGGGGGGUUGUGGAGUCUCCUUCUCUGCAGACAUUCAAACCCAUGGACACCUUCCUGUGUAACCUCAUCUGGGUGUUCCUGCUCCAGCAGGGGGAUUGGACUGGAUCAUCUUUCCAGGUCCCUUCCAAUCCCUGACAUUCUGUGAUUCUGUGUGGAGAGCAGAGCUGGGCUCUGGGCCUGACCUCAGUGUGGGGGGUCCUCUGCUGGGCUGUGACCUUGUCACACACUGGGUGACAGCCUGGGCUUGCUGGUUUGCGGCUCUUUUAAGGGUUGUUGCUUCUGUCUGAUAACUGCACUAAUAAUGUUUGGUUGACAUUACGUGGUUUAGUGCAGCCAGUGGGAGGAGCUUUGCUCCCUCCUAAACGCAGCUGCUCUCAGUGUGUCCAUAGAGACAUAAAUCAAUCUUGGAAAAGCUGAGAGAACGGAUGAGAUGGUGUCAGACCUCAGCCUGGUAUGAGAGCAUCCAAACUAGCUUACCUCUGUUUUCUCACCUGUGCUUGCUGUCUGGUGUUUUCAUAGUUUAGCCAGCAGACCAGGUGCUGUCUGAGGUUAAUCACACCCUCUGGCUGGCUUGUAGGAGGUAGGCUAGAUUCUGAGCUGUGGAUUGUAGACUUUUCUGUACCAAAUGCUAUCGCUGCUUGUGCUAGUGUCUGCUCCAGGGAAUGGGAAAUUAUCUGUUCACUAAAGGGGAGAUUAAUUAAACCUCUUUUAUGUUUAAGAGGACUGUAGUUUCCUGAAAUAACGUGUGGAAGAUCUUUGCUCAAAAGUGGGAGGGAGGACACUCAAAUUAUUGUAUGGUUUGUGAAAUAACACUUUUUCUAGUUACAGCUGAUUCCUGUGAAAUAAAGUGCUUUAUUGCUUCAAGAAGAUAACUCCAUUGAAAACAGUUUUGAAGAGCUUCACAGGCUCACUGGAAGUCUUGGCUAAAGUCUAGUAGUGGUAUAGCUCAGGAAAAACGGGGUUGUGAGUGUUUAUUUCAUAGUUUGGCUCCUCCUGGAGGUAAGUACAAUGCAUUUGCUCAGGAUAUUGCCUCACAGUAAGUGCAGGGGUGUAGUAGUGUGUUUACCUAAGUAUAUGUUUAAAUGACAGAGAAAGGAUGUUAUGAGAUGUUCUGUGAUGCAGUUACUUGAUGUGAAUCCUGCAGCCUUUCAAUAUUUGUUGAUAUUACAGCAAUGUGUGGUGUUAUUCUGUUUCUUUAAAUCCAGCUCCUUCCAGCUAAAGAAUCUGAACCAGUUACUUGCCUUCCUGUGAAAAGCCCGGUGUCCUGGGACAGGAGGUGCUUCUCCCCACCCCCAGCUUGUCCAGUUUUGCCAUAUUCAUCACUGAAGAAAAGGAGCGGAGGGAACAUGAUGCUCUGUUGCUGCUACAGCUUUCAGUAAUAGUUGUGUACAUCUGAAGAACUCUGAAUUACAAGUACAGUCCCUUGUAUUUCUUUUCUACUUCUUAUUUUUCAUGCAGAUACCUUUAGAUUCCUUGGGCGAGAGGGACAGUGGCAUGAUGAUUUCUGUCACAGUGGUUGCCCACUGUAGACUACAGGCCUGUGCUUAUAUCUGUGUAAUGAUGUUAAGUAUUUCAGUGGGAUAAUUGCCCAGGGGGCUCACUUUUUCUGUAACUGGUAGAAAACAUGUAUGUAAAAUCUUCAUCCGAGGUAAGUCUACUGACCUUAAUUACAGUAUUUUUUGUUAUUUAAACUGGUUUAGAAACAACUGGUUUCACCUGCAUCAAUUCCCUUUCUUCUUCCCCUUCCCCCUUGUGUCAGUGAUGCUGCUCUGGGGAGGAGACAAGGAUGCAUCCUGCUUCACAAUUUUAUUGUUCAUACUGUGUUUCUUUACCUGAAGAUAUAGAUGCCACUGAUGCCUCAGCUGAGAGCUGCUAUAGCAGAUGAAAAUGUUGAAAAAAGAAACUGACUUCAGAAACUACCCAAAUGAUGCAGGACACAGUAAAAUAGUUUUCUGUCUGUACAGUUCGCUUUAAUCAGUUUGGGAGUGUCUGACACUUGUCAGUGUCUGGAUUAUACUUACUGAUGACAGCUUGUCAGAGCUGUUCAUUUUGAAGUUUGUAUGUCUCAAACUUGGAUACUCUGCGCACUUGAAAGAGCUCGUGUCCAAGUCUGUUCUGACCCAACAGGUCUUAAUUGCAAGAUCCACAAGAAGCUUACAGUCCUAUUGCAGAAACAAGUGUUGUCUCAGCAUUUCAUAUGGAAAGACAAUAGACAAUAGAAUUGAAAGCCUAGCUUUGGUAUUUCUUAAAUAUAUGGUUACAUUCUGGUUUAGCACUUAAUGAAAAGACACAUUCCAGUGUCUCUAUGGUCCUGAGUCUGUGGAGCUGAUGUUUGUCUGUAGUCAGACUACUAUGCUGACAUCCUACACCACAGAAGCUGUGUUUGUCUUUGUUACUAAAGGGAUUUUUGGUGACAUUGGACUCAGGUAAGCAGCCACCCAGUGUGCUGAAGAUCAGAAGCACUUGGAACACCCUGCAAGAGGGACGUGGAGGAUGAGGUUAAGUAGGAAUGUGUGGUGCCUUUGCUCAAAGAACAAACUGCUUAAUCUAAGUUUGUAUGUAGAAACCUGGCUUCGUAUUUCAGUUGUCAUUCUGACAAGUUCUUGCUUCUACCGAAAACUUCAGGGAUUUCGAUGCUAUACACAGAGCCAUCACUGGGUAGUGUAUCAAAAACAGCUCUGUGGUCCGCUUGAGAAAUACACAAAUUUACAACAUUGAGUGUACAAAUAUAACUUCUAAGGUGCCUGACGUUCUGUCAUGGUGUCAGUGCAGCAUGGAGAACUGGCAGGGUGUUGGGGUUGUCUCAGUUCAUUGUCAGGCUUUAUGUAAUUCCUGGUAUGCAAAUUCAUCAGAUGAAAAUAUUUUAAUGUGCGUUCAGAGAGUAGAAUAUGGUUUCUAAGGGUGAUUGAUGUGAUCUAUGCUACUCUUGGCAGGUAAGUUUUGUUUUAAAAUCCCAUUUCUUAAUUAUCCUAGCAGUUAACAUCCCUUAGUUGUCCACAGUCCUCUUGGAAGAAGGGUGAGAGUUGAAGUGUCACUGACCAACUGCUUACUUCAAAGCCUGUGGGGAAAGGGUGUAAACUCUUUUAACAUCGAAGGUACUGCUCAGAUUCUGGAGGCUGAAGAAACUGCUAUGAAGGUUUUCUGUUUGUAAUUCUCACGUGGAGGUAUUUCCCAAAGAGUGUCCAGAGCUGCAAGGUGAAAAGUGAGUGAAUUCAGCUGGUAAAAUAGGUAAGUAUUUCCAUAGUGUGUUAUCGUUUCCAAGUAUCUUAAUGAUAACAAUACAGAAAAACACAUUGUCUGCUUUGUUCUUGAGCAGGGAAAGCUCACAAAAAACAGGUAAGAGUGGAAGGCUUCUGUGCCUUUUUAAGUGUUCUUAGUGAAAUUCUGGGGAGGCAGCUGUUAAACCCAUUUCUGGAAGAACUUUGUGUUCCCGUAUAGCCCAAAAAGUUUACUGUAAAGCUUCCCUGAGAAUAAUUCUAGUGACUGAUUAUGAAGUGUUACCUUUUUUCAAUCUUUCAGACCAAGAAGCGUGCUCUUAAGAGCAGUCAAGAAUCUCUUCAGGUAGCAGGGACGUGUUCUUCGACCGGAGCACGGCAGCAGUUCAGUAGCAGUUACACAGCAGGAGAGGGUGUGCAGGCUGCUGCAAAUCCCUGAGUUUGUAAGAGCUGGUAUCUGAAAGAACUCAUUUGAGAAGAGAAAAACUCAAGUUUCUUCCACAACUUCAAGCGAGUUACAAUGAGAGUUCAUCUGACACUGAAAUGGGAAAUUGCUUUUAUUGUAGAUGCUGGAGAAGGAGACUGGAAUAGUGCUGGUCAGGGCACUCUGGUGGGCCUUGGAAAAACUGCAGGUGGUUUGAGUGCAAGAGACGCCAGGUGUGGGGAGCUCUUUUUGGAAAGGCACACUGCAGCAGUGGGGAACACAUGCUAACAGCGUUCUGCAGCUGGUUCUUGGCUAUGAGUCAACGUAUCUGAUAAGGUGGGAUGGUUUAAAAUGGCCAUUGAAAACCAUGCAGUUGCAGGCAGACCACCUCUCUUGAAAGCAUGUAGGCAACUUUGGAGUUCAUGACCACCUAAACAAUUUUCAUCAAAUAAGAGUAUUUCCUGAAUUUGAAAUAGGAGCUUUGUUUGGUCCACUGAGCUCUUGCAGAGCUGGCUGGCUGGCCGCAGGGCUGCACUGAACAGCAGUGUUGGGCACCCACUUGUUGCUGGAGACUCUGGCACACAAAUAUGACAGGGAUGGGCUCCAGGGUUGAGUGGAAAUCCUUUGGUUGCCCAAGUUCUAACUUUGAUAGCCACAACAAGCGCUUCCAUGUGGAACGAGGAAAUGUGGGCUGUGCUGUUGUGUGUGUGCACUGCCCUCUUCAGCACAAAACCUGAUUAAACCCUUCGUUAAGUAAGGUAGGUAGGGGCAUUGCGAUGGGCUUACACUGGGUGUGCACCUCACUUGGUUGCUGCUAAUCCUGGAAAGGUCUAUUUUUUUUGUUGUCAACCUGAGUUGGUAACUGGUGCUGUUCCACAGAUGUGCCUGGCUGUACCAAAGAAGUUGUAUGUGAGCUGAUAAAUCCUCACAUUAUUAACUUACUCCUCUGUUAAAAAAAGAGACGGGAGGAGAGGCAGCAGGGAAUCCUUUUUGAAGGGUGACAUAAAUUCUCCGGAAAUUAUAAGCCCACUAGAAACAUCUUUGUGGAAUGAACACAUUUUGGGAGAUGAUGAAUGCUGUGAUAAAGGCAGUUUGAGCAGUCUGCUGACACUGCUCCUUGUCUCCAUUUUUGUGUUGAGGUUUGUAGGGAAAAGUGUUGGACAUCAGGGGUCUGUGAAGUCCAUAGCCCCAGGAAAAAAAUUCACUGGAAUUUUGUGUCAAACUAUGCACAAUUAUUCUGUAAGAAAGUCCUGCAACUGGAUGGUUAUGCUGGAGUCCCUGAUGAUGCACACCAUUGUUCCCGGAUUCUCUGGCUAUUUGGAUGCAGUGACACAGAAUUGCGUGUUGCUUCCGAUGUCAUUCAGCCUAAAAUAGAAGUUUUGGCAGUGUGAGUACUUAAGUGACAGUAUUGCCAUCAGAGCAUUGCUUCACACACACCAUUUCCUUUUGGGUAAGUUAGCGCUGCACUGUGAAAAAGCACACAGCACCAAGGAGGGUGUCAAGCAAUAGCACCUCCUGUGCCAGAAUUCCCUGGGUUUGCUCCUUUCCCUUUCUUUGGUCUCUGCUGUUUACCCAGCUUUUAGCCAUUCUGUAUGUUCUCGUUGGUUGGCUCUUUUCUACCACCUUAUUAGGCUUUUUAUGGGUGGGGUUUUUUUGGUGUGUAUUGCGGUUUGAUGUGCUGUAUUUGGUUGGGUUUUAGUUUCUUUUUCUCUGCAAAUACUUCUUCCUGUAAAACAGUGAAACAACAGGAAGUAUCUCAGGUUGCUGGCCAAGUUUCCACUCGCAUGGUUUCACUUGCUCCAUUCUGUCAAGUUAUUUACAUGCAGUGUCCUAAGGAUACAGUUCAGUGCUGGUGAGCAGCUAACUGUCAUCUGCUGGCCCAAGUCCACGUAGGUCAGGUUUACAUAAGCCUGCGUCUUCAGGAAUUCAGUGGCUGCUCUGGCAGCCCUAGGUUUCCUGUUGCACAACAUCACAGGCAAGAUAACGUUAGGCUUUAAAAUGGACACAGUAGGAACAACCACUUUACUCACUGAAUUGUGUGACCCAGAAUCUGUUCAGAACUUUGCUCUUCUGCAUACACAAAACCUGGGGUUCUUCUGGUGAGGAGUUCACGUGUUUCAUGAUUGGUCCCGUUGAGGUUUUUCAGCAUGGAUGUGUGAUGCUGACUAAGCUGCCGUGUUGAAAGCAGAGCUCUUGUCUCUCAGCUUCUGCAUUCAUCUGUAUCAGGGCUGGUUUGUAUCCCGUAGAGGGUCUUUCUGGGCAUGCUUUCCCAGGAGGCAUGUUACCUCAGCUUGCUGCUUUGAGAUCCCCAAAAAUGGGGUUGUGGAGGCUUUGGUGGCAUUGCUGGUUUAAGGAGUUUGUUACCUUUUCCCCUUCGUCUUCCCUUGCCAACACAGUUCUCUGGAGAGCAGCACAGUGAGUUAUCAAUGUCUUAAUAAGUGCAUUACACCCUUCUGUAUGCUUUUCUGUGGUUCAGGGUGGAAGUAGAUGAGGUUUGUAGUUGUGUGGCUUUCUAAAACCAGGGUCAGGUUAGUGAACUGGUUUAGGGCAUUUGCAGCACAGCACUAAAAAUAGCUGACCUGGUGCGCAGCAGAAGUCAGGAGUCCUUCAGCUUGUUGCUGUAGCCUCUUGACCCACUGAACCGUGUGUCUAAGAAUGCACUUUAUUUUGUGGGGGAGGAGCAGCAGCAUGUCCCCUGCGCACAUGGAUGCUUUUGUUAACUGUGUUUUUCUGUUCUAGGUCUCAUAACCCAGCUAAAUGUUUUGAUGUGUGCAGCCUCCUGACCAGGCAGCAGCAGCUUGAGCAGCCCUGAUGUCUAUAGGCAGCACUGGUGAUUGCCAGAUGUAGUCUGGACAAAUCCUAGUGGGAGAAGAGAGCUAGAGAAUUAUGUGGGGCAGUCUACACCUACAUUUUUAUAACUUCCAGAGAGUACAAAUUUGUUACCUUGCAAUGGAACUGGAUUCUUAUCAGAGAGUUGUGUGUCAUCUCUGCAGACUUAGCCAUAUACCCUGUUGUGUAUAAUAGCAGAGUACAUCUGCAGAAAGAGAAUUAGGCACUAAAACGUUUCACAUAUAGAUAAAAACCCUAAGCUCCGCUUUCCACAUCUGCAUUUUUGCAGUGCUCCUGAUAGGAGUGAAGCCAGCUUUGCCGCUGUAAAUUCCCUUAGAGUGUAAAUAUGAUUUGCUGCCUCUGUUUUGAGAAUGGUGAGUGUUGUCCUCUGAUGAGGACAAUGUGGUGGCAGCUAUUUUGCAGCCUCCCCGUACUUGCUCUGCUUUAGCGAAUGUCAACUAAAAUAGUAAUUGUGUCCCUUAAGAGUUAGAUGAUUGUUGUUAACCUUCCUGGAAAAACAAAUCAGAGGUAGCGGCAAAUGCAAUCCUCACGUGAACACACAGCCACUGGGGAUGAAGGAUAGUCGUGCUUUACCAACCUGUGUCAGUGAAGUCCAUUUAACCUCCUAAAAUUCCUGCCCACUGAAAGCUCCUCUCGUCUCCAGGUUCAACUGUAACUGGAGCAGCCGCUGUCCCAGUGCUACCUUGUGGAAAUGAGUGAGGGAAGAGCAUAUCUUAGUUCUAAAAUAUAAAUUAAUAAGCAUGGGGAAUCAUGGAGAAAUAGAGGAGCUCUGUGUUGCCAGCGGACUCCUGGGAUGGAGUACCUGUUUCCCCUUGAGGACAGUGUGAGCCUGGAAGCCUGGUCCCCAACAAACGCAGUUUGUGUGAGUCAUCUUGUUCUGUUAAAAUCUCUAAUCAUGUCGUGUCUUUUAAACUGUCACCCUUGAGAAGGUUCUUUGGCUGCAGAUUAACCUUGUCCUGAGUACGGAGGCGCGUGACGUGCUUGGCCGUGGCAGCAGGUACGUGUGGGGUCUCACAGGUUUCUGUCAGCACGUCAGCGUUUGGCUCUCCGGGGUGGAUAACAUUGCUGCCAUUCAUUCUGAGCGGCGCAGCAGCCUCCUUCACGUGGGUUUGAUGGUAUCUCAGAUAUCCCAGUCUUUUGCUGUACUCAGUCUCUCUUAUACAAAUUUAGCUACAAAUCAUGGCAGCCAAGAUCGAGGGUUUGGAAUAUGCCUCAGUUGUGCUUUCUGGAAUGGGUGGCUCUACCUCUUGGGUACAGCGGAGCUGUCACUUAUAUUUUUUCUGAAGGAAAUGUGAAUUUUCUCUCCUGUGGCAGUGUGUUAUGUGCUCGACCUGGCAACGUUCACCUCUGUGGGGUGCAGCAGGGUGGCUCCACGAGUCUUCCCUCAGUUUACUGCUCAGUGACACAGCAGGGAAUGCAAGGCCUUACUUUGCUCGUGUCCAAAUGCAAAUGGCAUUUGGCUCUGGUCACUAUCUUGUUUCUAGCUGAUACACAGGUGUUAACAGAGGCUUUGUGCCAACACACAGAUCUGCCAAACUUUGGGGUUUUUUUUCCUUUUCUACAGUAUUUCCUUGUCACUCAUACGUAGCACAUCACACUCAGUGUUUGAUCUGUAGGUUAUACCUUGGUGUGUGUGAGAAGCCCCGGGGUAAUUCCUCACUUGCUCAGCUGUGUGGGGCGGCUGAUGCCAGUGGCUGCAGAAUUCCAGUUAUUGCAUCCUGUCACUAUAAAGAAGAAAAAAAGAAAGCUUGGAGGAAGGAGUCGUCCUUCACAUCCUGUCUGUUGGGAUGUCCCAAACAGCUCCCGAGCUGCUGCGGAGCUCUGACCAGGCACUGCCCUUCAUGCACCCCCUGCACUGGGUGGUGGGACCCAGUACCCUAUGAUGGAGGUGAGGGGACACCAGUUUUAAGUGGUGCUGUCUUCCACCUUUGCCACUUUCUGUCCCUGUGGCUUCUUCCCCCUGCCCUGUGAAAACUCAUUCCUGUUCUUGUUUGAAAAUGGCUGCUUUAAUAUGGCCUUUUAGCACAAGCAGUUUGUAGAUUAAAGGAGGCCUGGGUGUGUUUCGGCUGACUGUGGAAAAAGCUGCAGGUCCUUUUGCAGUUUGUAGCAAAAGGGACAUUAUCGUGGACAAGGUUCAAGAAAUACCUUUGUAGAGUUUUGUGUGACCUCUGCUAAAUUUGACGAAGCACGUGUGACUUGAUCUUGUCCUUAGUGGUACCAUGAUCAAAUACUCUUCCAUGGUCCUGCCAUAGUGAUCUUGCAGUGGGGUUUUGAAAUCCUUUGCUCAGUAAGAAAGCCCUGAUCUCACAAUGUGGAGGUGGCUCUGCGCUUUUUCCAGGAGUCCUUCAGAGCAGGUGUUGGUAGGAGGAAGACAUUUUAUACAUUUCUGCUUUUUGUUAGGUAUUUCAGCUAAAUAAGCCCCAGAGAAUCCCUAUAUAUUCCACAUAAUUUACAAUCAAUUACAUUUCUCCAUUUUGCACAAAUAUGAUUGCAUUUAUGCAGAGGCAUAUAAAUAACAUUUCUUAGUAGGCUUUUCUGUCAUGUUUUAUAUUACAGCUGCGUGUAGCCUCAUUGCAUAAGUCGGGAAUAUCUGAAUAACAAAUGUUAACAUUGGGUGAUAAACCACAGGAGUUACGGAGCUCAGACUUUGGAGGACCUGGAUCUUCUGGUACAUUCAGUGGGCAAAGUGUUUACACCUCAUCACCAUGUUUUGCACUGGAGGAUGUUUGUGUGAAUAUCUUGCUGCUGUUAAUCUGCUUUGGCAUCUCUUACCUGGGGGGAGGAUAAUAUUAUGGUUCCCAUUAAAUCUUUUUUGGGGGAGGAAGGGGAGGAAUGUUUUCUGUGUGCAGUUUCAUAUUUUUUUAACCUCUGCCUCUUAAAAUUUUUAAGUAGCUCCUUCGAUUACCUAAACUGAUGGCACCUGAGGACAAAUAGAUCUUUGCACCCAAUUGCCUCGAACACCUUUCAGAUGAGUCAUUUUGGCAGAUCCCCAGUGAAGAUGCAGAAUCACAGUAUUGCUGGGAACCAACCAGUCACCACUAAAACAACAGUGCAAAAACUGGUCAGCAGGCUGAGCAAACCCAGCCUGUCUUAGAAUGUUACGCCUACAGCAUUCUGUCUAAAAACUGUUAUCCCUCAGCAAACUAGUUGGAAACAUUUUAAAGAGGAGAAUCAGAUACCUAGCAGUAACUCUGUAGGGUUCCCCCCCAUUUUAAUGCACUGAUGAAUGUAGCCAACUGCCACUCCAACUUUAAGAUACUCAAAGCCAUCUGUAGAUAAAAUGCAACUUUUCAGUGUUUGAAACAGUUUUAGCUAAUCCAUUUUCGUGGCCGCUUUGUGGCAUCACUGGGUAAAUUCACAUUUCUGAGUCCAAGACAUAAAGUGUCUUUGUGUUAUUUCUUUAGAAAACAGUAAAAAUCACAAAGGGAGCCCUCAUUUUCAAAACAGGAACAUCAGAUUUGUGUUUCAUUUGAAGUGAGUGUAUCACAUGCUGAUCCGGUCAGUGGUCAUGUAGGGUUUGUGGUUUACUAGCCCAUCUGUUUUGCCUACAGAGCAGCAAAGAGAACACGGAUGGAGUUAGCAGUUGUAAAUCCCUGUCUCCAUCACUGACCCCUGAGAGGUGUGAUGUUUAAACCUGGUCUGGAUGCAGCUGCCAGGGGAGCCAGGGAAGGGCAGAGGGGUUUGUGGUCCCUUCCAUGACCCCACCACUCUUCUCACACCUUGGGCUGGAGCCUUCAAUGUAUCCAAAUACUAUAGGGAGCUGCAAGGUGCGUGUGUGAGGUGUUGGUCUCUGGUAGCUGUGAAUGCAGAGAGUUCUGGUCCACUCUGCUUGUGGGUGUCUGUCAGCAGAGGGUGGCUGUAAGACCCUCCAUGCAUCACUUUAAACACUUCACAGACAGUAUUGAGAAUGAUGGCCCUUGUGCUUCCUUUAUUUCCUAAUCCUCCAGUUAUCUUUGGGCAGUAAUUAUAAGAAAUUAAGUAUUUAACAAAGAUUUUUCGUUUGAGCUUUCCCUCAGUGUUUGUUUUGCUUUGACAUUAUUCUUCUAGAUGACAAUAACCAAUUUAGGAAGACAGUCUUGAACAAUCCUGUUCAUUGGGAAUUACUUUAGUCCGGGACCAGAGUAUUUGAAAGAGAUAACUCUCUGAAUAACUUGUCAGUGUUCUAGCAUUUAUUAGGGAUUGAAAUUUAAGAUAUUAGUAGUGAAUAGACUUCCUUUCACCAAAUAUCAGACACCUAACAGGUGCCCAGUUUGUGCUGAGACUUUCCUUAUGCUCUGUGCAGAGGACCACGCACAUCCCAAGGUUGAUUUUGAUUUCAAUAGCUCUUCCCUUAAUAUAAGAAAGAAGUUUGCAGAACACAAGCUAGCAGGAGCCUGACCCCAAACAUUUGCACAUGUAUAAUUAUUCUCAUGUGGGGUCCCACUAUGUGCAACAGUUAAUGAUUAGACAGUUAAUUAUGUAAUUCUUACGCAGAAACUGGCUCAGUUCUUGUGUUGUGUUACACAAAUUUGUCCUGUGAGAUUUCUGUUCCUUUCUGUUGGGUGCAGAGGGAGCAGAGGUUAGACUGGCUUAAAGUUAGACUUCCAGCGUACACACCCAGCUGAGCUACAUGUCACCCGCUGUGUCUACAGGCUGGUCUUGCUAAUACUAGGCAAUAAACUACCUACUACUAUCUUUAAAUGUCUGUAGACACUUAAUAGAUUUUACGGAUCUGAUUUCACAUCCAGUGGCAUAAAAUGUGGCAGUAACUUACCUAAUUAGUAGAUAGUCAUUAACUUGUCUGAAAUCAGUGGGAUUCCACAUGGGAGCAGUUGCACAAGUAUAAGUAGUUCAGGCUGUUGUUGAGUGGAGAUCUGUGAGGAAGCUGUAUAUAAUAAAAAAUAGUAGGUGGUGAUAAAUUAUCAUGUUCUACUAUACAAUGAUUUAUAUUCUGCAUUGCAUGUUGAGAAUUUUCCUAUGCAUACUUAAGCAGUUUUUAAAGAUUUGAACAAAAAUUCACUAAUCCCUGUCUUUGAUUUCAGUUUACCGCUCAGAACCCAUGUUUUCAAAACUGAAUUUGUAUGUAAAGUUCCUCAAUUUUCAAAAAAGCUGAGUACCAGCAGUCUCCAUUUUUAACUACUUCAGAAAUACAGCACAUAUGAGACCUUAGUAUCUAUGUAUUAGAGCAGGUAACAUUCCUCUCUGCAGAAACAGCCAACGUAGUGACCAACUCAAGCCAAAGAAAGAUUGAAGAAGCACCUUCCGUAAUGGCUACAAACAACAGGUAACCUCUGGCUUUCCCUUCCGCAAACAGCAGGCAACACCAAACACAUGAAUAAGAUUCGCAUCCUCCUCUUCUGCAGGCGUCAAACCUUUUGAACCAGUUUCCACAGGGUGGUGUUUGAUGCAUUUGAGGUAUUUGAAUGCAGAGAAAUGACACGAGAAUGAUUAAGGGAUUAGAGGAACAGGGUCAGGAGGAUGAGACCAAGUUGUUGCAGACACGGGGAUGUAUUCAUGACACCAGCAGGUGCUGUGGUGCUUGUGGAACAGUUCCCAGUCCACACCAGACUGUACGGAGCUAUCUGCAGGAUUUGAGUGUGCCCAGCACUCGUGCUCUGCUUCACUUUAAUGAUACGGAAAGUCUUGUGUGUGAUUCUUUGCUGUAAUGACCUGUUAGUAACCAUUUGGGCUUUCAAGGGAUGGAAAUGACACAUGAUAUAUGAAAUAACCUCUUCCUGUUUGCAAUGAUUCAGUGAAAUACUGAGUCAUGUCUACAUCUUCCCUGUACAGACUCUUUGUUGUUUGCUACCUAGGGUCUGAAUUGAUGAUGCUGGACGACAGUUUUUACUUGAACUAGUCUCAGUUUUAUCAGUUUUAGAUGAAUUACUGCCUUUUCCUAGGGAAAAGGUUUGAGCUACAUCGCUGUUAAUUUGAAUGACAGUGUAUUGGUAAAAAACAAGCUGGAUUUAGUUUGGGUUAAGUUAAUUAAUUAAUGAUUUGGGGGAUUAAUUACUUGCAUUCACUGCAUGCCAAGUCACCUAAAUCUCUUCCCAUAGUGUAAUGAGUCCAGGGGCCCAAGAAGUUCUGGAUUCAGCUGGGAAGUAGAUAUUGCAGUGUUCUGCCAGGUUGUACUUCACUGCCUUUUGAAGCGAGCCCCUAAUGCCACGGAAAUCUCAGCAGUACGACACCUGACCCUUCAAGGGCUGAAAUGGAGUCUGUGUCUGAAAACAGAACCUAAAUUCUUUCAUCAGGUUUGCGCAGUUGGGUAUUUUAUCUUUUCUCUACAGAACUUAGCAGAGGCUUAGGGAAGGGAGGUUGGAUGGUCUUAUUCAUGGUGGCUUAGUUUAGUUUAACUUUGAAAACACGGUGACUGAAGAGCUGCAUAUUCAGUGGCUACAUAGGAGGGCAAUGAAACUGGUAAAGGGCCUGGAGCACAAGUCUGAGAAGGAGCGGCUGAGGGACCUGGGGCUGUUCAGCCUGGAGAACAGGAGCUGAGGGGAGACCUUAUCACUGUCUGCAACUGCCUGAAAGGAGGUUGUAGCAUGGAGGGGGUUGGCCUCUUCUCCCACGUAACGACUGAUAGGACAAGAGGAAAUGGCCUCAAGUUGCACCAGGGGAGGUUCAGAUUGGAUAAUAGGAAAAAUUUCUUCCCAGAAAGGGUUGUCAGGCAUUGGAACAGGCUGCCCAGGGCAGUGGUGGAGUCGGUGGAGUCACCAUCCCUGGAUGGGGUUUAAAAGGCAUUUAGAUGUGGUUCUUAGGGACGUGGUUUAGUGCUAGAGUUAGGUUAUGAUUGGACACGAUCGUGAGGGUCUCUUCCAACCUAAAUGAUUGUAUGAUUCUACGGAGUCGGAUGGAUGUACUGACAAAUAGCUGCAGACCAUAGAGCUCUGUUAAUUCCUUUCUGCCAGUGAGACGUUCCUGCUCAUCUCUUGGACAGCGUCAUAAGUUGUUGGUCUUACUCAUAACUGGACCCAGCUGAUGGAGUGUAAACUCAUAUACCAAUUAUAUAGCCACCAGGCCUUGCUAGAACCAAGUAUUUUUUAGUUACUAUACCACAGAAAAAAAAAGAGGAAAUAAGAUGGAAUAAGCAAAAUUACAUCAGUGGGGUAAAAGAGCCAACAGUUUUCUGUAUUUGAAAUGCAGCGCCUUUGGAUUAUGGCAAUUUACAGCUGCUUUGUGAAGACACAGAAUUUUGCAAAAUCGUUGACAAGGAAAAUGCAGGUGCGAUGUGACGGUUUUUUCUUGUGGAACAUUUUAAUGGCCAUGCCCAGCUUCCCCAGUGGGAUCUUACUUUCUUAGAGCAGAGAUUUGUCACCACUUGCUUGAUUUGGAUGAACUUUCUGCCAAAAUCAAGGAAGGAAUUGACAGGGCGGACUUUAGCAACAGGGAAAUUGCGACAUGUUUGAAGAGCACGCGCGCUCAGAGCUGCUGCUGUUUCAAAAGGCAGCUGCUUGUCAGCAAAACAAGCUCUUUUUUUUCCUGCAGAUGUCUUGUCUCUGCCUUGCAGCGAUGCCGAGAUGUUUCAUCCUGUGAGAAGCCGGAGGAACAAGAUUUACUGUAGUAAGAACGUGUAUGCACGUGCUAUUUAAACACCGUUCUAUUCAGUUGAACUGAAGCGUUAAUCCCAGUGGGGACUGCAAUGAGUAGACGACUUUUGCAGUUAUGAGUGGGUCUGUUUUCACAGUAUCACAGUAUGUUUGGGAUUGGAAGGGACCUCAAAAGAUCAUCCAGUCCAAUCCCCCUGCUGGAGCAGGAACACCUAAGUGAGGUCGCACAGGAACAUGUCCAGGCGGGUUUGAAUGUCUGCAGAGAAGGAGACUCCACAACCCCCCUGGGCAGCCUGUUCCAGUGUCUGUCACCCUCACUGAGAAGAAGUUUCUUCUCAAAUUUAAGUGGAACCUCUUGUGUUCCAGCUUGAUCCCAUUGCCCCUUGUCCUAUCAUUGUUGGCCACCGAGAAGAGCCUGGCUCCAUCCUCGUGGCACUCACCCUUUAUAUAUUUAUAAACGUUAAUGAGGUCACCCCUCAGUCUCCUCUUCUCCAAACUAAAGAGCCCCAGCUCCCUCAGCCUUUCCUCACACAGGAGAUGCUCCACUCCCUUAAUCAUCUUCGUUGCCCUACGCUGGACCCUCUCCAACAGUUCCCUGUCCUUCUGGAACUGAGGGGCCCAGAACUGGACACAAUAUUCCAGAUGUGGUCUCACCAGGGCAGAGUAGAGGGGAAGGAGAACCUCUCUCGAUCUACUAGCCACCCCAACUGAACCAACACGCAGCUUUUAAGACAAAGGCAGGAAGCACAUAUUGGUACAAGAGCACGUGAAAAAAAUCACUCACUGCCCUUUUGCAGGUCAUGGGUGGCUUGGAGCAGCCAUGUCUGCCUUCCAAGACAAGUCAACAGUGCAAAACUUGACCAUAUGAAAAAUGCCGCCUUCUUUUUUUUAAUACACAAAGGUCAGUCUUAAAGCAGUGAAGAUGCUAAAACAGCACACAGAGAAUUAUGUCUUUCAGAAAUCUGACUGAACGCAAGUAGCCAGGGGUCUGAGAACUGACAUAAAGCUGUGAUGAUACUUCUGCUCACUCCUCCUUGAAACUCUACAGCCAGAACUGAUAGCACACCAUGUCUUUCCAAGCUUGAAUAUUCACUCGUACACGGAGAAGAACAUGGGAGGCUCUUUAAAGGCCCCUUGAUAACUGGAACAAGAAAUCUUUGUUUAGCUAUGAGUGAAAUGUCCUCUUAUAAAAUGCCAAAUAGCCUUGUAUUCUUUAGUCAAAAGCUAAUAAGACAAGCUGUGAGCUCUUCUUAUUUCUAUUCCUUCACAGUAGAAAUGUGGAGUGCUUUAAAAAUGCUGAGAACAUGGCAGUGGUUGACAAGACAAGAAAGGAUGUAUGGAGAUACUGUGCUGAAGAAAUUUUAAUUAUUUUUAGAAAACAAACUUUUAUACUGAUGUAGGUCUGGCAUUUGCAAUUUCAGCCAGGAGCCAGGGCUAAGUUUUCUCAGCCAAGACCCUUGCACGCUCUGCCUUUCACCCUUAUGGAAGAACACCUAAUUUGGUAAAAUCCCACAGUGACUUUAAGGGGAGAGAUCCUAAGAAAUGAAACAGCUGCUUGAACUUUUUAACUUUUUCUCAGUGAAAACAUGUCUUAUUUUUAGUGUGUGUGCAGUGCACGUGUGAGGCUGGUUCUGUUAUUUUCAUUACUGGGUCUGUGCAUCUGUUGAUCCCAAGUGUCCAGGUUUGGUUCUGGUUAGAUGUGGGUACAUAAUCGCACAACCGCAUUUGCAUUGAGUUAAGUACCCAUGGUAUGGAGUUCAUAUGAAUUUUGUAACAUCUGGUAGCUGAUAUAUGAUAUAAAGUGGCAAUGGCACAGAGAGAGCAGUAGCUGUGAUCACAUUAAGUGUGUCAGAAUGAAAUUAGACUAACAAAACUUUUAAAGACAUUUUAGCUGACAUAUUAGUGAAAGCUGGAUCUGCAGCUUGGAUAGUGGGUUUUUAUAUGUCUGGUCUGACACUAAGGACCCUAAUGUUGGAUUUAUUGUGUCAUUAAGCCACAAUCGGAGAGGAGGAGGAGGGUGAACUGUAUCUUUUACAGCUGCUAAAAAUGGAAAUCACUUUGUCACUGGUAUGUUCUCCUCAGUGAAAAGCCAGUGCUAUUUGAAAACUGCUCUUGGAGAUGAUUCAACUAUCUACACGUUAAAUCUUCAAAAUAUUCUGUGUUACUGCAUAGGGAUGGCGAAGAACAAUGUAAAACUGCUAACAUAUUAACAGGGAGAUUUAAAGAAGAUGUGGCACAGACAUUUGUGUAACUGUGCUUUGUUGAGCUGAGCACAGGUACAGUUCUUGUCUACUUGGGUCAUUUAGCUGGCUUAAGACCAAAAUAUACACUUAAUAUUCAACAGCCACCUGUGCCCAGUAAUGACAGCGUCCUCCAGUGACGUCUUACUAUGUCAACAGAAUAUUAGCUAAAUAGUAGCUGUGUUUUUCUGGUUAAAACUAGACUUUCAUUAAAUUCUAAGAUAAGGCAAAAAAAUACUGCUUCUUCCACUAUUUAAUCUGGUUAUCUGCCAUGUUAACUUGGUGACUGGAUAAUUUGAAUCUGCUAAUUUAUUGGUUUAACUGAAACUGCAGCCUAAAUCAUAUAAAAUAUCGAGCAUUGCUUUGUUUUUAAUCAGUUGGGUGAAACAAUUAGUGUAUUAGGUAAGUAAUGUGCUUUGUGAGAUUCCUGUUUGUGCAUUCACCCUUCCUAUGCAACCCAUACAUGGGACAUGAGAUUUGUUUACUUCACCAGACCACAAGCUGGGUCACAAACUCUGAAGGUUUACGAAAGCUCUGGUGUGGAAUCCCCAGCCUCUUAAGUGACCACCUACAUCCCUUACGUUGCACAGGCUGUAACAUCCCUGAUAAAAUGACUGUGAUAGAUAAUGAUCUUGUAAUACUGAGAAUGUAGAUGUUUAUAAAUUAUAAAUAUGCGAUAUGGGUCUGCUAGCGUGCCUUUAGCCACCUGCAUUAAGUCAACACAAGACACAAAUGGCCAAAUAUUUUCACCUGUUGGAGUAUCUGACCGCCUGCUGCAGCACAGAACAGCCCCAGCCACCCGGCCUCCCUCCGGCCUGCUGGGGUAGUGCCUUUUCUGUUCAAUUUUACUGUAUAUUGUGUUCCCUGGAGCACCGUAUGUAAUAAAGCGCACAGGGUGGUGGUUUGGCUCCAGGGGAGAAGGCUGCCUCUGUACUGUCUGGGAUGCUGAGCCGUGGUUGGACCCCUAGAAGGGAACAAGAUGCUUUGCUUUGGUACAGUUAAGCAUGAUGAGUUGGGUGAAAUAUUUUAAGAGCAGGAUGGAACAGAAAGAAGCUUUUGAAAGACAGGACCUUCCCUAUAAGGAGUUAAUUUAGAAACCACCUGUUCUGCCUCACUUGAAGUGUUCUCUCUUUUAAAAAAAAACAAACGUUCCUUUAUGUUUUAAUGAAAUCUAAUUACUGAAGUCAAGAGCUUUGUGUUUUGGGAUGUUUGUUGCAAGGGAGACCUGGAGGCAGGUCCACCUCAAAGAUCUGCUGCCCGUACUAGAGAGCUAGUGUCAUCAUAUCUGUUUGUUACCGCCAACAUUAAUUCACCUGCCUUCAGGUGUCUUGCAGGAUUAUAAUGUGAAUUCGUUAAUUAAUUGCUGAAAGUGCUGUUCUUGUGCCCUGUGUUAGUGCAUUGAUUUGCACACUUAGAAGGCAAGAGUAAACUGCAGAACGUAGCGAUUAGAAUUGAAACCAUUGCUAAACUUCGGCCUGGAGGCAUCGAGUUGCUUUCCUGAUCGUUCCCAUUACACGUGCUGAGUACAGAGGUGAAGAGCAAUGGAAGGGCGAGGGAAAGGAGAAGGACUCAUAAAGCACCUUAGCGGAACUAACUGCAUUAAUCAGUUGCCCUUUCAAAUGCUGGUGUGUUUGCAACAUGGGGCCCUUUGUAACAGAAGAACGAAACAGAUUUGCUGCCCCUCUACUUAUUUACACCCUAGUAUGUAAUUUUUGCGGUGUUUCACCUGGUGUGGGUGGUACAAAUAGGAACCUGUGUACAUCCUUAUUUCUGUGAUGGAAGCAGCGAGGGGGGGAAAGGGGAAAAGGAGAAGCCAGAAUUUCUGCUAAUGGGAAGAGAAAGCAGAUAGAUUCUAAAAAGAUUUUAUGAGCAAACUACUAAUGUGCCUGCUUACUGCUGAGUUCUGCUGCAGCUCACCAGCUCAUCGGAAUGUAUAUACUCUGCUUAUUUGCUGCAUUAACUUGGUGACUGUAUAAUUUGGCUCUGCUCAUUUAUUGUCUUAACUGAAAUUAUAGCCUAAAUCCUAUAAAAUAUAGGGCAUAUAUCCAUAUAUGGAUUAUCGAGGGUUGGUUUUAUUAUGGGCCUAGAUGCUGGCUCCUUUCACAGCACUGAAGUCGUUAAUUAGACAAAAAUACACAACUUUCACCCUCUGUCUAAAUACAUUUAAAAUUAUGCCAAGCUGCCCAAACAAGGUGUUGUCUCAUAUAAACCAAACUCAAAGCAAGAACUGCUCCUGACCAAGCUAGUAACCUGUCAUAAUUCGUCUCACUUGGCACAUCUCCAAGCCCUGAUUCUCACCGUAUGUCCCAAGACACCAGCUGCUCCCAACAUCAAGAGAACAAUUCAUUAAUUCCUUACAGAUUGUUUGUGACCGACAAUGUUUACUGUAAGUAUUUUUUGGACAAAGUGCUGCAAACAGACAGGGAUAUUGGUCAGCUGUAUGUUCCUAUCGCAUGCAGAUAAACUGUAAUUGGAGUUUUUUCCCUGCUAGCAAUUCAGGCAAAGCGCUUGGGAAUUAGCCCAGGACUUUUACGAUGGCUUGAAGAAGAAUAUUGUAUUUCUUUAAGCAUCCCUGCUUGGGUCAGCCAGUGGAUUGUUUUACUGUGGUGUCUUUGGCGUCCUUAAAAAGAUUUCAGUUCGGUUCGGCGUUAGUGGGGCUCAGCUGGGAAGGCAAGGGCUUUAGGCAGCACCAGUUCGGGUAGAAGUCCUUGUGCUUUUACUGUUCUGUCUUGUGGCCUUGCAGAGUGUCAGGCACAGAUCUCUCAAGGCCACGUUCUCUGUCCCCUCCGCCAGUGUGGCACCAUUGCAGGGAUGUGGUGAGCGGGGCCUACUCAAACCACAGACGAAGGAAGGGCCGGUCCACCCGGUCCUUGUGCAGGAGCCCUCAGGCAGGGCCUGUGGGGAGGCCAUGGCUUCAUCUCCAUCCCACGCACCCUCAGGCACAUUCCACCUCCUCAAAACUUUUGCAGCACAGCCGGGGUAGCUUUCCUCUUCAUAUACUGAAAUAAUUACUCUGCUACAACCAAAAUAGGACUUCUGUUUCCCUAGAACUCUGAAGGGUGACGUGUGUAUGCAGCUAUGAAGCUUUGGGGAUCCUCCGGCGAUGGAUGCAGGCAGGGCAUUCCAACUUGGGAGUCCUCAAGAGCAGCACAAAAGGUGUAUACUCAUAUCCUUCUGGCCCUGUGUAAGAUGAGUUUAUGUGUCAUAAUAUUAAAUGGACUAACUAGGUCA